UACAGAGGUCUCAAGCGUUGUUCGGAUUCAUUGGGCGUAAAGGGUGCGUAGGUGGCGCGCUAAGUCAGGUGUGAAAUCUCGGAGCUUAACUCCGAAACUGCAUUUGAUACUGGCGUGCUUGAGGACUGGAGAGGAGACUGGAAUUCACGGUGUAGCAGUGAAAUGCGUAGAUAUCGUGAGGAAGACCAGUGGCGAAGGCGGGUCUCUGGACAGUUCCUGACACUGAGGCACGAAGGCCAGGGGAGCAAACAGG
rnacentral:rRNA from 1 species